rnacentral:misc_RNA from 1 species
GUGAAUCAUCGAAUUUUUGAACGCAAAUUGCACUUUCUGGUAUUCCGGAAAGUAUGCCUGUUUGAGGGUCAGUUAAAUAAAAAUCGGUGUUGUUGCUGCUUUUCGUGUUGACGCGUCGUAAUUGAGUUGUCUUACUUUCGGUUAAGUGAUUUAAAAUUUUCGCAUGAUUUUCGAACGUAUUUAAAUCGCUUAUGUACGUUUGAGAUAUUGAAUGUUUAUUAGGUUCGGUCAUUCCCAUUAUUCGCGCCUUUACUUUUUCAUUAAAUGACCUCAAAUCAGGUAAGACUACCUGCU